GAUGAAGACGUAGCGAAAUGCGAUAAGUAAUGUGAAUUGCAGAAUUCAGUGAAUCAUCGAAUCUUUGAACGCACAUUGCGCCCGCCAGUAUUCUGGCGGGCAUGCCUGUCCGAGCGUCAUUUCAACCAUCAAGCCCCGGGCUUGUGUUGGGGACCUGCGUCCGACGCAGGCCCUGAAAACCAGUGGCGGGCUCGCUGUCCACACCGAGCGUAGUAACUAACCUCGCUAUGGAGUGGCGCGGGCGCCUGCCGUAAAACCCCCAAUUUCACAAGGUUGACCUCGGAUCAGGUAGGAAUACCCGCUGAACUUAAGCAUAUCAAUAAGCGGAGGA
rnacentral:misc_RNA from 1 species